rnacentral:rRNA from 1 species
AUGAGCGCGGCCGAGGAUGCCUGCCGCCGUAGCACGCGCACGCGCCUAAAUCCACGUACCCACGCGAUUGAGGCGGGCCAAGGAGUGGCCCUCCGCGGCAGCACGCGCCUCCAUCCCCAUCCCCACAUCCACGCCAGUGAAGACGGCGACGGAGUGGCCCGCCGCCGCAGCCCGCGCCUCCAUCCCCAGGCCCACGCGAGCGAGGAGGUAGCCGGAGUGGCUCCACGCCGCAGCGCGCUCCUCCGUCCCCAGGUCCACGCGGGUGAGGAGACAUUCGGACUGACCCGCCGCAGUCACCGCCGCGGCAGUCCGCUUGAAGACGACGACCUCCUGUGGGAGAUCCUCCUCCGUCUCCCGCCGGAGCCCUCCUCCCUUCCACGCGCCUCCGCCGUCUGCAAGCGGUGGCGAUGCGCCGUCACGGACCCCAGUUUCCGGCUCCGCUUCUGCCAGCACCACUGGAAGCUGCCAAUCCUCGGUUUCUUCGUGGAAGGCGUGGAUGGUAUCGUGUUCAAACCCGUCCUGGACCCUCCCAAUCAUAUCCCUGGUCGGCGCUUCCAGCUGCAACUCCACAGCAUUUGCGGUGUCACCGGGUCGGCGGCCCGACUGCUCGGGUGCCGCCACGGCCGCGUCCUCGUCAUAAACUUUCUGCGCAAACUUUCUGCGCAAUGUGCUUAUUGUCAUUGCACCCAUCACCGGGACGGUGCUCUAUGUGCCCUUUCCGCCCAAGUUGAAAACGGACAGCUUCAUCACCGGGACGGUGCUCUGCGCUGCUGCUGA